rfam:Dipodomys ordii contig_54406, whole genome shotgun sequence.
GGAGGUAUGGCUUAAGUGGCAGAGUACCUGCCUAACAAGCAUGAGGCUCUGAGUUCAAUCCCUAGUACCACUA